UACGUAGGGGCCGAGCGUUGUCCGGAGUUAUUGGGCGUAAAGCGCGCCGCCAGGCGGCUUCGCGCGUCCGACGUGAAAGCCCCCGGCUUAACCGGGGAGGGUCGUUGGGUACGGCGGAGCUUGAGGGCGGGAGAGGGUGGUGGAAUUCCCGGUGUAGUGGUGAAAUGCGUAGAGAUCGGGAGGAACACCUGUGGCGAAGGCGGCCACCUGGGCCGACCCUGACGCUGAGG
rnacentral:rRNA from 1 species